ACAACACCAUUUGGCUUUCACUGGCUUUGGCAAGGCUGAGAAGGCACAGACCGCAGUCGGUCAGCUAGGGCAAGCCAAGCUGAGACAGACUUGGGACUAGUCUCAAGCAGCGAAGAGCUGCCGGUGAGGCAGCACCAGCGGGGACGCCCGGCGGAGCCAGAGCCCCGGGGUCGCGGCGGCUGGGGAGGGGACCGACAGCUCGGUACCUUCUCCAGAAGCAGCCGUAUGAGGUGCUCAUGCGAGCGGCGGGCCUCACAGCCCUGCCGCACGUAAGCCGGCGACACCAGCCGCUCUCCCGCCGCGAAGCUCUCGCGGUUCAUGACAGCGGUGGCGACAGUGGCGAAUAAGCGGGAGCACUAGCUCCACACGCCAGACACACGACGGAACCAGAAUGCAACUCGCCGCCUGGACGGUACGGCAGCGCCUUGGGACAAAAAACAAAACAAAACAAAACAAAACAAAAAAAACACUUCUCGUUCGUGCACAUGCGCAGACCUUCUCAGAUGGCGCUCCAGGAGGAAGUUGGCGUAUUUGAGCAUGCGCGAGGGAGUCCGCGCUUUUCGCUGACUUUUGGCAAAGGAAGGACUGAAAUUAGCCCCGCCCCGCUGCGGCUGAUUCGUCUAGUUAAACCCUGGUGUUCCUGACACAAACUUCAGGAAAGGAUUUUGCACUUGUGCAGACCGGGCGAGCAGAGUAAGAAGCAGUUGGUUAAAACCAGAGAUGCGGAGCGCAUGGAUACGGAGGGCUGACUGCGCUUGGAACAUUUCUGUCACCAUGUGAACAAGCCUACUCUAGCCAGGUGGAUGCUGUGAAACACGUGGCCCAGUCCUCUCCAACAUCCCAGUCAACAGCCGGCACUGCCAGAGACAUGGCAAUCCAGCUCUCUGCAGCUGCCUAUAGAUUCACACGCAAGCCCAGUCAAGACCAAUAGAAUGGCCCAGUUGAGCCCUGUUCAAACUGUAACCCAUAGAACUGUG
rnacentral:lncRNA from 1 species